UACAGAGGUGGCAAGCGUUGUUCGGAAUUACUGGGCGUAAAGGGCGCGUAGGCGGUUCGGUAAGUCCGGUGUGAAAUCCCUCGGCUCAACUGAGGAACUGCACGGGAGACUGCCGGGCUUGAGUUCGGGAGAGGGAAGCGGAAUUCCGGGUGUAGCGGUGAAAUGCGUAGAUAUCCGGAGGAACACCGGUGGCGAAGGCGGCUUCCUGGACCGACACUGACGCUGAGGCGCGAAAGCUAGGGGAGCAAACGGG
rnacentral:rRNA from 1 species